GAGAGAGACAUGCGCGCAUAUCAAUAAGCGGAGGAAAAGAAACUAACAAGGAUUCCCUUAGUAAACGGCGAGUGAAGCGGGAAGAGCUCAAAUUUGAAAUCUUCAAGGUUUUACCUUGACGAAUUGUAGUUUAAAGAAGUGUUUUCUGCUGAAGUUUUGGUAAAAGUUCUUUGGAAUAGGACAUCAUAGAGGGUGAGAAUCCCGUAUUUGACCAUUAUUUUCAGCUUUGUGAUACACUUUCAAAGAGUCGGAUUGUUUGGGAAUGCAGUCCAAAAUGGGUGGUAAAUUUCAUCUAAAGCUAAAUAUUGGCGAGAGACCGAUAGCGAACAAGUACCGUGAGGGAAAGAUGAAAAGAACUUUGAAAAGAGAGUUAAACAGUACGUGAAAUUGUCAAAAGGGAAGCGUUUGACACCAGUGUUGUUUUCUCGAAAAUCAAUUAAAAAUGGCUCGAUUUUGUAUUGCUUGAGACCUUAAAAGCUCACUGUACAUUUUUCGUGUCUUUUUUAAUGCACUUUUCGUUUAACAAGUCAACAUCAGUUUCUUUUGUUGUAAAAGGGUCAUUGGAAGGUGGCUUUCUUUUCGGAGAAAGUGUUUAUAGCCUUUGGCCUCUGCAAUCGGAAGAGACUGAGGUCUGCAGCGUAGACUCUUCGGGGUUAGAUACAUUUGUGCUAAGUUAUAGCUUUUUAUAGACAACUUGUUGACUAUAAUUAGUCUUGUAGCUUACUCGCUUAUGCUAUUUUACCUACGCUUAGGAUGUUGAAGAUGUAGCACAUCAU
rnacentral:rRNA from 1 species